GUGCCAGCAGCCGCGGUAAUACGUAGGUGGCAAGCGUUAUCCGGAAUUAUUGGGCGUAAAGCGCGCGUAGUCGGUUUUUUAAGUCUGAUGUGAAAGCCCACGGCUCAACCGUGGGGGGUCAUUGGAAACUGGAAAACUUGAGUGCAGAAGAGGAAAGUGGAAUUCCAUGUGUAGCGGUGAAAUGCGCAGAGAUAUGGAGGAACACCAGUGGCGAAGGCGACUUUCUGGUCUGUAACUGACGCUGAUGUGCGAAAGCGUGGGGAUCAAACAGG
rnacentral:rRNA from 1 species